ACACACGGGCCUUUCCAAAAUGCUACUGCUUUUAACAACCAUUUAUUUUAUUAUUAAAAACAAAAGCUAGUUUUAAAGUCUUUUUUUUUUGUUAAAAAAACUUUAACUUUAAUUUCUUUUUUCUAAAAAACCCUAAACUCUUUCUUCUCCCCACUGUCCUCUUUCUUCCAGCCGCAAACAAGGCCAACACCAAGCCUUCAUUCGCCUCCGUGACGACCAACAGAGGGCUGGAGAACCCCUCUUGUGAAGCGAAUCGAGAGGCCGUGAAGUUGUGGAGAACGAGGGGCAUGGAGUAUGGGCGCAAACAUGGAGCGAGGCACACGGGGAUCGUGCGUGGAGUGCCGACGUGGGGGUUGCGGCGUGGGGCUGCUGUGCAAAAGGGGAAC